AUGGAUUUACACCCACAGGUGAUCUGCUGGAAUGUUCGAGGCUUGAACAAUCCAGCUAAAGGCAAGGUGGUGCGGGAGUUUAUGAGUGCUCUUGAGGUCAACUUAGCUUGCUUGCAAGAAACAAAGUUGGAUAUAAUAGAUAGAUAUCUAGUGAUGCAAUGUUUGGGACCAUUGUUCGAUGGUUUUGCUUACCUGUCGGCUAUUGAGACUAGAGGGGGUGCUUCUUGCGUGGAAGAGUACGGUCUUGGAGGUGGAGGCCAUACAGAUCGACACUAA
rnacentral:rRNA from 1 species